GUGUCCAUUUUCCUUAAAGUCAUCCACAUAUUUGUAACAGUAAUACCUCCUUGGGAGGUUGUAAUUGCUCCAAAAUCUGUUCUAGAACUUGCCCAAAUAAUUUGGUGGCCCUGUAAACCCCUGAGGUAAAACUGUCCAUCUGUAUUGUUGCU